UACGUAGGUGGCGAGCGUUGUCCGGAUUUACUGGGCGUAAAGAGCGCGCAGGCGGUCGUACAAGUCGCGUGUGAAAGCCCCCGGCUCAACUGGGGAGGGUCACGCGAUACUGUUCGACUCGAAGGCAGGAGAGGGAAGUGGAAUUCCCGGUGUAGUGGUGAAAUGCGUAGAUAUCGGGAGGAACACCAGUGGCGAAGGCGACUUCCUGGCCUGUUCUUGACGCUGACGGCGCGAAAGCUAGGGUAGCAAACGGG
rnacentral:rRNA from 1 species